CAUCUAUAUUCAUCAGUAAAUCAUUUGUUUCUGAAAAUUAAUUGAAAAGGAUUCCAUCUGUCUUAGUAUCGAAAAUUUAUCUUGGAAUCUACUUAUGAGUUCUUAUUGGGUUGCACUUUAGUGUUUCAAUCAUGAACUAAUUCAUUUUAAUUGAUUUUGAUGCUAUGAUCUUUAAAGGAGUAAAAUAAAAUCUUUAAAAAAAAACUCUAAAAGAACUUUCAAAGCCUUGAAUUUUAUGUAUCCUACAUUGCAUAAAUUCAUGUUUUGGCAUCUAUGCCCCAAAACUUUUAUAUCAUGAAAGAACUUUGAAGUCAUUAAGAAUUAAGGAUUCAACAUAAUCUUAUGUUUUUCGAGUAUAUAAGUUUUGAUCUUUAUCUGCUCUUAUACUAUACUCUGAAAAUUAAUUAGAUUGCUCUCAUUUUGCUAUAUACUUAAUAUAUUUAAAAAAAAAUGUUGGAUUUUCAUUCGUGCCUUCUUUGAAUAUUAUUCUUGAUACUUCUUGAAAUAACUUGAACAAGAUUCCAUCUACACCUGAUUUGAAAA
rnacentral:lncRNA from 1 species